rnacentral:rRNA from 1 species
UACGGAGGGUGCAAGCGUUAAUCGGAAUCACUGGGCGUAAAGCGCGCGUAGGCUGCGCUGUAAGUCAGGGGUGAAAGCCCACGGCUCAACCGUGGAACUGCCCUUGAUACUGCAGUGCUAGAGUUUGUGAGAGGAUAGCGGAAUUCCAGGUGUAGGAGUGAAAUCCGUAGAGAUCUGGAGGAAGACCGGUGGCGAAGGCGGCUAUCUGGCACAAUACUGACGCUGAGGUGCGAAAGCGUGGGGAGCAAACAGG